GUUUUCUUGAAGCUGAGUAAGGAUUGGAUGAGUGAACAAAGAAUGAGCCAAGAUUGCAAAAGAUAAAGGAAAUAGUAAAGUAAGGGUAAUAAGGUAGAAUGUUUUUGGAGAUCUCUUAGGUAUGGAGAUUGAUUCUUGAAAAAUAUCAGGAAUAGUCAAGAAUUGAAGCUCUUCUGCUGGUAGAUCCAUUCUUGAUUCAGCUCAAACAACUCUUGUUCCUUUGUCUGAUCUCACACAACUUCUUUUGGGGGGUUUGAGGAAUGGACAAUUUCAAGAUUUGUGCUGCAAUGGCACCGCCACGAUUUUUUCUGGAGAAAAGUCUACGCGUUAAAGCAUUAGGUACAAAGAUUUAUGCUAUCACUUUUUU
rnacentral:misc_RNA from 1 species